rnacentral:lncRNA from 1 species
ACCAGAGCCCCCAACACACACACACACACACACACACACACACCAGAGCCAACACACACACACCAGAGCCCUUCAACACACACAGAGCCAACACAUACACCAGAGCCUCCAACACACACACGAGCCCCCAACAUACACACCAGAGCCCCCCAACACACCAGAGCCCCCAAUACACACACACAACAGAGCCCCCAACACACACACCAGAGCCUCCCACACCAGAGCCCCCUAACACACACACCAGAGCCCCUAAUACACACAGAGCCCCUGACACACACACUAGAGCCCCCAACACUCAUACACACCAGAGCCCCCAACACACACACACAUCAGAGCUCUCAGCACUCACACACACCAGAGCCGCCAACACACACACACACACACCAGAGCCUCCCAAGACACACACCAGAGCCGCCAACACACACACACACACAACCAGAGCCCCCAACACACACACACACACCAGAGCCUCCAACACAGAGCCCCCAACACGCAAACCAGAGCCUCCAACACACACACCAGAGCCCCCAACACACACACCAGAGCCCCCCAACAGACAGAGCCCCCCCAAGAAACACACACACACCCCCACUGCCUCGUCCCCUCCCCAUCUGCAUCCAUCUAGAUGGCCCAGCAAGAUAUUUUGCUAAAGACAAAGUAAAAAUUCCCUCAAGCAUCUCCGCGGCCCCGCUUUGAAUAUGUUUUCUCCCGACUCAAUAGACAUACAUUUCUUGAGUGCUUUCUGUGUGCCAAGUGUUGUUACAUGCAGUGUUUCAUGUCCUCACAGAAAUCUCCAUGUAGCAGAUGAGUAAACUGAGGCGGGUGGAGAUGGUGACUUUGAGCUAAGGCUGAGUGAAGAUUGGUGCAUCCUGGGGUCCUCUCUGCCAGGUGCACACUGAAUGGCAGGGCUGGGCCCGAGCCCUCACUUGCCUCCCAACAACUCUCCCCUGAAGCAGAAAAAAGCAGAAAAGGGGAUGAAACUGUGAUGCAGAGAAGCCUGAUCCAGACGCCAGCUCACUCUGGGGGAACCCACACAUCCCUGAAGGAUGGGGCUGGUGCCAGGGAACCCCCAGAGCCAUGCUGGCACCAGUAGGAAGAGGAAGCAGGAGGCAGAGGGAAGACCUUCCCAGGCAGCCUGGCUCCACAGCAGAUUUGCUGGCCUCAGUAAGCAGGGAGCUCCCCAUCACUGGGGUGUGCAGGCCAAGGUCAGAGGCUCGUUCCCUGAGGGUAGAGUAGAGGGAUGUCCAGAUGCACAAUCUCCAAGAUCCUCCCUCUCCCAGAAUCUCUAGCACUGCCCUGAGGCUUUGUAUUAGCUAGCUGGUGCUGUGUAACAAGGUACCCCACAAGUCAGCAGCUUAAAACAAGCGUUUAACCCUUUCUGUGAGUCAGAAAGGUGUAAGUCAUGGUGUGGCUUUGUUGGGUCUCCUGGCUUGGGCUCUCUCAGGAGGCUGCAGUCAAAGCAUUGGCUGAGACUGUGGUCAUUCUCAAGGCUCUGCUGGAGAGGAUACACUUCCCAGCUCACUCAGGUGGCUGGUAGUAGGUUCACGUGUUGGCUGGCGGUGUCAGUUGCUCACUGGGUGGGCCUCUCCGCAGGGUAGCUCAUGGCAUGACAGCUGACCACCCAAAAAGAGGGCUCUGGGAGAGAGAGUUCAAGGUGCAGAGCCCAGUGGAACCCACUUUUUUGGAGCCUAACCUUGGAAGGGACAUCCCAUGCCUGUCACUUCUAUUCUAUCCAUUUGUUACAAGUGAGCCACUUGGUUCUGUCCCUAUCCUUUGUUCUCCUUUGGGUACCAAAGGAGGGUGUGAGUAGCUGCAGGUGGAUUCUUUGGAGGCUGUCUUAGGGCUGCAUACUACAGGCCUCAAUGUAGAAUCAGAGUAGGGGGCUGUGAGCAGCCACAUUUUACAGAUGGGGGGACUGAGGGCAGAAGGAAAAAGUCAACAGUCUGGUGUGUGUGUUGGGGUCUGGUGUGUGUGUUUUGGGGGCUCUGGUGUGUGUGUGUGUGUUGGGGGCUCUGGUGUGUGUGUUGGGGACGUCGUCCAAGGUCACACGGCUUGUGAAUUGCUGGGGCUCUGGUGUGUGUGUGUUGGGGACCUCGUCCAAGGGCCCAAUUCAGGCUGGGGCCUGUAGGACUCUGUUUAAACAUCUUGGGCCACAUUAGAGGCCUCCCAUGCCAUGCCCGAGGUGCCCCAUCCCGGCAGAGAGCAUUCCUCAGAGCGCAGAGGGUAUGCAGGGAGGCCGGCAGGGCUCCAGGGACCUUGCUGCAUCUGUGUCCGUGGACUGACAUCCCCUGAGAGUGACUACAUCCGUCAGGACACUCCAACUGUGCCCCAAACCCUUGCACAUUGGACCCUGUCAGGAGGACAGGUCUGCAGGGGAUGGGAAGGUGAGUCCAGCCACCAGAGCUCACACCACACCUGCUCUCUGCCAUUUAUUCAGCAAACUCCCAUAAAGCUCUCCCACGUGCCAGGCUCUGCACUGGGCUUGUAGAGAGGAUACCAAAAGGAACCACCAUUGAGAAGAUCUGGUCCCCAGCAGGCCUCGGGUCUCUCUUCAGCUCCUCCCUGGGCAGCAUGGCCCUGAGCCUCACUUUACCCAACUGUAAAAUGGAGUCAUCGUCUCUGCUUUCCUCCCAGUGAAGGUGCAAGAACUGGGCGAUCCCACGGGUCCACCAGGGCUUUGACAAGGCAGGUGCUGGGGCAGAGCACUCUGGCCAGGAAGCAAAAGAUAAAGGUUCCCAUCUUGGCCCCAGCCUGGAUCUGUGCCCAGUGAUAGUUAUCAGCCUGGAUCUGUGCCCAUUGCAUCGUGUGGACGUACCACGCCAUGUUCCUCCAUCACCUUUUGAGGAAACUUCAGUUAUUUCCACCUUCUAACCGUCAUCAGUAAAGCUGCUGUGAACCUUCGCAUCCAGGUCUCCUGGUGAAAUGAAUGCACACAUCUCUCUUGGGUAUUAUAUGAGUGUCCCGUAGCUGCUGUAAUAAACUAUCAUAAAUGCAGUAGCUUAAAACAACAUAGAUUUAGUCUUGUACAGAUCCGGAGGACAGCAGUUGGAAAGGAGACUCAUGAACACCUCAUGUCAAGGCAUCAGCAGCACGGGGCCCUGCUGGAGGCUGCGGGGGUGAGUCCAUUUCCUUGCCUGCUCCAGUUCCCAGAGGCACCCACAUUCCUCGGCUUUUGGCCCCUUCCAGAUGCAAGGACAUCUCUCCGACCUCUGCUCCCGUGGCCACAUCCCCUCUGCUGACUCUGAGCCUCCUGCCUUUCUCACUUAGGACCCUGUGAUGGCAUCAGGCCUAGCCAGUUAAUCCAGCCUCAUCUCCCUCUGCCAAAACCCUCAACUCUAUCGUGUCAGCAGAGUCUCUUUCUCCGUAUUGAGGUAGCGUUCCUUGGGAUGGCCAUCUUGCCCCAAAUAGGUUCCUUGAUGUCCCUGUACUGUUUGCAGGGACACAUUUACAAAGUAGGAUUAAUAGCAUCUCCCCCUUUCUGGUCCCUGUGAGAAUCCCUUAGAAAAAUUUAUGAAGGCGGCCGGGCACGGUGGCUCAUGUCUGUAAUCCCAGCACUUUGGGAGGCCGAGGCGGGUGGAUCACCUGAGGUCAGGAGUUUGAGACCAGCCUGACCAACAUGGUGAAACCCUGUCUCUACUAAAAAUAAAAAAACUAGCUGGGCAUGGUGUUGGGUGCCUGUAAUCCCUACUACUUGGGAGGCUGAGGCAGGAGAAUCGCUUGAACUCGGGUGGCAGAGAUUGCAGUGAGCCAAGAUCGCGCCAUUGCCUGGGUGACAGAGACUCCAUCUCAAAAAAAAAAAUACGUGAAGGCUCCCAGCCCCAUACCCCACGUGCAUACAGUCAGCGCCAACUAACAGAAGCCACUGCCGCUGCUGGGGAACACAUUGUCUCCAGUUCACCUGGGAUGAGGCGUGUUGUGCCUCAUGACUCCUCUGCUUUUGUCUGCAGGAAGGGUUAUUGUCACAGAGGGUCUGCAUUCUGGAAGCUUUCAUUGUUAUUCAAAUUGCCAGGUGCUCUGUUACCUUCCCACUUAGGUUGCAGGUACCAGCCCACCAGGCCUGCCAGCUGCAGACCCUCCUCACCCCGUGGGCCCUGCUUCCGGUUUCAGGCUCAGCUCCUCUCUCACCAGGGCCACUAGGGCCAGCAGGGCAGCCUGCUGCUCCCCAGCCUGCCCAGGCCACUACCCUGGACGAGAGGGGCUGGCUGUGUGGCCCUGUGGUCAGCAGCCCAGGCCAAGCUCCACUGCUAGCUAGAUACGCAGUUUUGGGCUAGUGACAUUGUCUCUCUGAGCCUCAGUUUCCUCAUCAGCAAGUUGCAGGGACUAGUGGUCCCCACCCCUGAGGCUGCUGAGAGAACUGAGGCUACACAUGCAUGGGAAGUGCUUGGCACGGUGCCCGGCGCAGAAGAGAGAAUCAGUACCCUGCAGCCCUAAUCUUGCCGCUAUGAGAAUUAGGAACGAUCUUCUAUGUCGACUCCCCACAGCCUCGGGAUCAGGUCCAGACACUUUCUGGCAGAUGAAGGCCUUGUGGCUGCUGCCUCUCCAUACUCACCCCUGCCGGGAGCAUCUUGUGCCGCGACAGCCAUGCUCCUUGUGAUCCUCUGAAUGGCCUUGGCUGAGGCUGUUCCAUCUGCCCAGAGUCACCUGUCGUCCCAACAAACCUUGUCCAGGGCCCAGCUCUGUGGCUGCUCCCGAUAACUUUUUCCCCAAUCUCCACCCCGGCCAGGGCCCCAAGACUGCUAGACACUCACCACUGACACAGCGUGGGUCUGCUGCUCUUGUUUUGGGGUCCUGGUGUGGCUCCCCCACCAGCUUGGAGCCCUCGAGGGCAGGGCCCACACCUGGCUCAGUUCUGAGCCCCCAGCCCAGGCCUGGCAAAGGUGCCACAGUUUUGGCUUACUGGAAGGCCUAGUGCGAGGGGCCAAGAGUUGACACUGAGUGAGGGGAGCACUGGUGGGCCUGGGCCUCGGGGUCUACGGGACUGGCAAUGAGGGGCAAGGUGACCUGCAGAGUGCCUAGGAGGACACGUGACUCCCGCAUCAGGGCAGGCGAGUGCUCUCCGUGGCAGGAGUCGAUGGCCACACAGGAACAGCUUCCUGCACUCACAGGCUACAGCCCCGCAUGUGACCAAGGCGUGCUUGCCAUGAAAGCAGAACAAGAGUUGACAUUUGCCAAAGAUUCCUUCCAGAAGGCUGUGCAAUGUGGAAGUGUUCCCGGGGCUACUGUGGGCUGAUGGGCUGGGCUGUGUCCACAGGAGUGAUAGCCCUGCUGGGCAGCGGUGAGGAUGGCCUACAGUGGUAUUAGGUGGGUGCCUAAGGCCCAGAGAGGUUAAUGACUUGCCCAGGGUCACACAGCUUGUGAGGGGCAGAGCUGGGACCUGAACCUGGGCUUGUCUGACAUUGAGGCCAUGGACAUCUCUGCCAUAGGACUCUACGGUGCUGUGUGGUACAGGGUGUUACAAAGGCCUGUGGGAGUCAGACAAGCUGCGCUGAAGGGGCGCCCAGUGAGUGAGGUCUUGAAGGAUGUGUAGGAGUUUCCUAGGUGGAGAUAGGGGAGGGUGUUCCCAUAAUGUGAAGAACACACUGGGGCUUUCUGGAAAGAGUACUUUGGAG